UUCCUUUGUGUCUGACUUCCUUCACUCCACACAAUGUUUUUGAAACUCAUUAAUGUUGUGCCUGUAUCUGAAGUUUGUUCCUUUUUAUUGCUGAGUAGUAUUCCAUUGUAUGGAUAUACCACAAUUUGUUUGCCAGUUUACCAAAUGAUGGACAUUGGGGAUGUUUUCAAUAUGGGGUUAUUAUGAAUAAAGCUGCUAGGAACAAUCUUUAACAAGUCCUUUUGUGGACAUACAUUAUUAUUUUUCUUAUCUUACAGGAGUAAAAUUAUUAUUACAGUAACUGUGUGUUUAACUAUAUAGAAAGAUGAACUGCUUUCCAAAGUGGAAAACAUUUUACAUUCUCACCAGCAAGAUAUGAUAAUUGCUUCACAUCCUCAUCAACACUGGGUAGUUUCUGUCUUCUUAUUUUUGCCAUUCUAGAAAAAACUAAGAAACUCAAGAGGAGUCAUCAGAAUUCCUGCCAUGUGGGAGUCAUCAACCCAAUGGGUGACUUCUUUUCUGCUCCACAUAUAAGAGGAUUACUUAGACCGAGCCAGGACAAUGAGAUUCAAUCCUGAAAUUUUUUUCAAACUUGGAAAGAGGAUCUCUUUUCCAUGGGAUUGAAAAUAGAGCUCCUGAGAACCUGCCUGAUGGAGAGUGCAACAUAGAGAAAAGCAGAACGAAGACACAGAGAGAAGGAGUUCCAUUUUGACUUCUAGAUCCAACCUUGCCUGCAGCUGAGCUUGUUCACUGAUGUUUUCGUCUCCUAUUCCAAGCAAGUAGCCAGGCUAAUUGCCGCCUUACUUCAGGGAAGUCUGUGGCAGAAGCUUGAAAGCAAAUGACCUACUACACCUGCUUGUGUCCUGGUCUUCAAGAGCUUGGGUUCCUGAAGUGGAUUAUGCUGGAGGAACACAGGUAGAAGCAGAAGUAACAAAGGAGAGAAGGAGACUGCCCUACUGCCCUAUACCAGGAAGGUGUGGUGGUUUCCACAAUCAUCAAGGGGCCUGUGUCCUACUUCUAGCAGAACCUGGGGAAGAAGACAAGGAUUCUGCGGAGCCUAACUGUGUGGUGAAGCUAGGGAGGCUGUACCCUUGGCAACAGGGCUUCCAUUGUGAAGAAAGAUGCCUGCAGGCCAAGAAGAGCAGAGAAACAGAGUCACUGCCAUUCAACAGUUCAUGACAACUUCAACAAUAGGGCCACCAUAAUGAGCCAAAAAUUAGGAGCAAUUCUCCUGUGUUUUAAGGAACCACAAAGUCUCUGAGAGACUGAAGAAGAGAGAACACCCAAAUGACAAAUUAAAUUUACCUCCAGCAAGGUGGGAUUAAGGCUCACAGAAAUAUCCAGCACACUCUCCUCACAUCUACUGGGGUCCAAGGCCUCAACAGCACAGUCUCCUCAACCUGCUGCUCCAGACAUUUCGCUUUUCUUCCUCUGCUUGAAUCCUACAAUCGCAAUGCUUUCCUGCCUCUGUGUUUGCUUGGAAUUUUUUGUCCUUUGGCAAUUUAAUGCUUGUAUUCAUCCAUUUAAUAAUAAGUGCCCAUCUUUUCUAUCUUCAAAUACUUGCCCUUCAUAAGGUUCUCCCUGACCCCUCUGAAAAGCCAUAAUUUCCUCCUUUACAUCUCCAAGUUUUGUACUUCUCUUGGGACAUUUACCCUGUACUACUUUUUGUUAUCAUUUCACAUCUGCUCCUCCCAACAUCUUAAACAUUUAUUGAACAUCUACUAAGCAUCCUAAAGACAGUGACUGUUUCCCAAGUACCUAGCAUAACACCAUAUGCCAUUGACCUUAGGACACUAAACUGAACAGAGCACAGAGCCUGUCCUCAAAGUUCUCAAAGUCUAUGUAUCAUGCUCAGGGAUCACAGGAUUGUAUGUAGUAACUUCUCAGCCUUUGUUGAUCUUGAUUGUCAGCACUUUAAAGCUCCAUUCAGCUACUUAUGUAAAAUUUAAGCAAAAUGAGGAAGAUAAUUUCGUUGGAGAGAAAGCUUCUGGAUGCUUCAGAAUAUGCCACCUCACCUGAAUGAUUUUUAUAUCCAACUGCCUACUGGACACCAACCACGUGGACAAGUCCUGGUUGCCUCAAACUCAACAUGUUCAAAGCUGAAUACAUCACCUGCUCUCCCAAAUAUGCUCCUCUCCUGCUGUUCCCAAAAUCAGAAAAUGGCUUCACGAUCAGCUCAGUCAUCUCAAGAGCAAAUGCUGAGAGUCACCCUUGAAUCCUUCUGUUGCCUCCACAUUCAAACCAUCACCAUAUCCUUGAUUUCUCUACUGUAUAUUUUUCAUAUGUGUCCACUUCUUUCCAUCUGCACUCUCAUUAGUGAAGGCCACCAACAUCUCUCAUCUGAAUGCCUGCAAUACCUCCUCACAGGUCACCAGGCAUCUAGUUUUGCCCCUGUCCUGCCCUUCCCUCAUCUAGAGUGAAGCCAGUAGGAACCUUCCAAAAUGAAAAUCUGAUUAAGUCACUUCUUUGCUUAAAACUUUUUUAUGGUUUCACAGCCCAUGAAAAUAGUAUCCAAUGUCUUUAAGUGCAUUGCAAAACUCUUCAAGGCCUCCCUCUCCAAUCCUUCUAGUCCUCCCUCCCCAGUUUCAUCACUCAUUAUAUACCCCAUAACCUUUAUGCCAGAGUUGUCAUGAACCUCCUCCCAUUCCUUCAGUAUUUUAUGUCUUUUUGCCUUCAGGUCUUUACACAUGUUGUUCCUUCAUAUUGAAAUAUUCUUUCCUCUCCCCAUUGCCUGGUAGAUUAACUCCUGUUUAUCCUUCAGAUGUCAGCCUUAAUGUCACUCUCUCAAGGUGAACAUCCCUGAAUUCUCUGAUGCAUUACAUAGGAUACCGUUUUUAUUCUGCCAUUGUAUGUGUCACCCUUUAUUGUUAAGAAACAUUUAAAUAAGAAAUAUUUAAUUGUUAAUAAACAGUUUUAAAUAAAAAAUAUUUAUUUGUUUCCAUAAGGAAA
rnacentral:lncRNA from 1 species